GGGUUAGGGUUACCAAAAAAGAACAAAAACUGUGAGUGGACUGAUGGAAGCAGCACAGAAGGGCUGGAUGAUUCCCAGAAGAACUGAAAAAGGAAUACAUGGUUAAAGAAGGAUCAGUGCCGAUUGUGUCAUAUUGCGG